GAAGUACUCCCUCCGUCCGGAAAUACUCGUCGGAGGAAUGGAUGUAUCUAGAUAUAUUUUAAUUUUAGAUACAUCCAUUUUUAUGUAUUUCUCCGACAAGUAUUUUCGAAUCGAAGGGAGUAGCUA
rfam:Triticum aestivum genome assembly, contig: Triticum_aestivum_CS42_TGACv1_scaffold_223259_3B